UAGCUACAAAAUAACUUAUUUUAUAGCCACUUUGAGUUACGAUAAUUACUAUAUUAAUUUACAAGAUUAUAGUAACUCCUUACUAAGUGGUUUAGUGUAACAUUACGAUAAAUAUCAUGUGUUAUAGUAACCCAACUAUCGUAAAUAAGUAUACAUAUUAUCGUAAAUUAGUAUAUAAAAUUAUCGUAAAUGGAGGUGGCUACAGAAUAACAUAUUUUGUAGGUA
rnacentral:pre_miRNA from 1 species